GUCUGGUGCCAGCAGCCGCGGUAAUUCCAGCUCCAAUAGCGUAUAUUAAACUUGUUGCAGUUAAAAAGCUCGUAGUUGAAUUUUAGCGUGUUCGAGUUUGCCAUUCGUUUGGCUUUUUCGAGUUCGCUUUUGGGUUUUCCCUUUUUACUUUGAGAAAAUUAGAGUGUUUCAAGCAGACUUUUGUCUUGAAUACUUCAGCAUGGAAUAAUAGAGUAGGACUUUGGUUCUAUUUUGUUGGUUAUUGAACCUUAGUAAUGGUUAAUAGGAACGGUUGGGGGCA
rnacentral:rRNA from 1 species